UACGUAGGGCGCAAGCGUUGUCCGGAAUUAUUGGGCGUAAAGAGCUCGUAGGCGGUUUGUCGCGUCUGCUAGUGGAAGUCCGGGCUCAACUCCGGAUCUGGCGGUGGGUACGGGCAGACUAGAGUGAUGUAGGGGGAGACUGGAAUUCCUGGUGUAGCGGUGAAAUGCGCAGAUAUCAGGAGGAACACCGAUGGCGAAGGCAGGUCUCUGGGCAUUAACUGACGCUGAGGAGCGAAAGCAUGGGGAGCGAACAGG
rnacentral:rRNA from 1 species